CCUACGGGAGGCAGCAGUGGGGGAUAUUGCACAAUGGGCGGAACCCUGAUGCAGCGACGCCGCGUGGGUGAAGGAGCGUUUCGGCGCGUAAAGCUCUAUCGGCAGGGAAGAAGAAGACGGUACCUGACCAAGAAGCCCCGGCUAAAUACGUGCCAGCAGCCGCGGUAAUACGGAGGGGGAAAGCGUUAUCCGGUUGUAAUGGGUGUAAAGGGGGCGCAGACGGCAAUGCAAGCCAGGAGUGAAAGCCCGGGGCCCAACCGCGGGACUGCACUUGAAACUGCAUGGCGGGAGUGCAGAAGGGGCAGGCGGAAUUCCUGGUGUAGCGGUGAAAUGCGUAGAUAUUUGGAGGAACACCAGUGGCGAAGGCGGCCUGCUGGACUGUGACUGACGUUGAGGCCCGAAGGCGUGGGGAGCAAACAGGAUUAGAUACCCUAGUAGUC
rnacentral:rRNA from 1 species